AGCACGCAGAGGGGAUACAUCAAAACAGAUGUAAUCUUUGUAGCAUGGGCCGUUCGUUGGCAACUGAAAGUUACUGCUGAUGCCCAUUGUGUUUCGGACCUGGGGUCAGAGGUGCUCCUGCUUUUCCCUCUGCCAGAUAAAAGCAUCAGUGGUGUCACAGUGCUCUUCGCAGAAACGCUCCCUCAGAGAAGGAUGGAAAUGUUGAGCUGUGUCUUUGUUCUGGAGCCCCAGUCUUUACCAAAAGCUUUGUGCUUGGCCACAGACAUGAAUAAAGGGAGCAAAGCACAGGCCCAGACCCAACAGGAAUGGCCUGGAAUUAACGAAUGUAAAGACUCAGCUUUGAGUCAUGUUCUAGGCUGGAGUAGAGUUGCCUGCUUUAUCUGAGCACUGCACUUCAGACUUUCAAACCACAAGGAUGGCUGUAACUUGGCCUCAGAAGACGGCAGCCAUUUUCUCUGUCAGCUUAAUAUAUUGGUCUUGAAGCUGUGGGAACUACUGGCUGGAACACAGCUGCGGUGAAUGGACAAGUUUGCUGUUUGCAUGUUUUAAGUUUGUUUUUUCCCCUCUUCCCAGUGUAAUU
ensembl:lncRNA